rnacentral:rRNA from 1 species
CUAAUCAAACCGGGAGAUAGCUGGUUCUCCCCGAAAUCUAUUUAGGUAGAGCCUCGGACGAAUACUUACGGGGGUAGAGCACUGUUAAGGCUAGGGGGUCAUCCCGACUUACCAACCCUUUGCAAACUCCGAAUACCGUAAAGUAAUAUCCGGGAGACACACGGCGGGUGCUAACGUCCGUCGUGAAGAGGGAAACAACCCAGACCGCCAGCUAAGGUCCCAAAGUCAUAGUUAAGUGGGAAACGAUGUGGAAAGGCCCAGACAGCCAGGAGGUUGGCUUAGAAGCAGCCAUCCUUUAAAGAAAGCGUAAUAGCUCACUGGUCGAGUCGGUCUGCGCGGAAGAUGUAACGGGGCUAAACUAUGCACCGAAGCUGCGGAUUCAGAAUUUAUUCUGAGUGGUAGGGGAGCGUUCUGUAAGCCGUUGAAGGUGUACCGGGAGGUAUGCUGGAGGUAUCAGAAGUGCGAAUGCUGACAUGAGUAACGAUAAGGGGAGUGAAAAACUCCCCCGCCGGAAGACCAAGGUUUCCUGUCCCAUGCUAAUCAGGGCAGGGUAAGUCGGCCCCUAAGGCGAGGCAGAAAUGCGUAGUCGAUGGGAAACGGAUUAAUAUUUCCGUACUUGGUAUAUCAGUGAAGGGGGGACGGAGAAGGUUAUGCAAGCCUGGCGUUGGUUGUCCAGGUGAAAGUGCGUAGAGUUGUUUCUUAGGCAAAUCCGGGAAACUACAUGCUCGAGACACGAGACGAGACUCUAAGGAGUUGAAGUUGCAAAUACCAUGCUUCCAGGAAAAGCCUCUAAACUUAUGAUAUAUCGAACCGUACCCCAAACCGACACAGGUGGUCAGGUAGAGAAUACUAAGGCGCUUGAGAGAAC